rnacentral:rRNA from 1 species
GUGGGGAAUAUUGGGCAAUGGGGGAAACCCUGACCCAGCGACGCCGCGUGAGGGAAGACGGCCUUCGGGUUGUAAACCUCUUUUGUACGGGAAGAAGGAAGUGACGGUACUGUACGAAUAAGUCCCGGCUAACUACGUGCCAGCAGCCGCGGUAAUACGUAGGGGACGAGCGUUGUCCGGAAUUACUGGGCGUAAAGGGCGCGCAGGCUGUGCUGCAAGUCAGCUGUGAAAUGUCUGGGCUUAACCCGGGCAUGCGGUUGAGACUGCAGUGCUGGAGUGCUGUAGAGGCAAGUGGAAUUCCCAGUGUAGCGGUGAAAUGCGUAGAUAUUGGGAAGAACACCGGUGGCGAAGGCGACUUGCUGGGCAGCAACUGACGCUGAGGCGCGAAAGCCAGGGGAGCAAACGGGAUUAGAAACCCCUGUAGUCC